CAGACGACGGAUGCGGGCGCCAAGCGGAACUCCCUGCUGAGAAUCUUUAGCAACGUCACGAGGAAUCUGACCAAUAAGAACGCGGCGAGCCAGAGGAGUCCCCGCGGCUUGCUGCUUGCAUGAGCAAGGUCAGGGAGACGAAGGCGAAGGCACAUACGGAGAUGGCGGACUCGGAACGCGGAAGUGGCGAAUCGUGCUGUUCAAAUGCCUUUAAUAAUAGCUCCCGUGACGAAUAUACAUGUUUGAUGACGGCCCAUAUUCGACGGAUCCGCUUCCUCUGUAAGUCGCUGGUGAUGUACGUGCCGCAGCUGCGUUAGCGCAACAGAACGAGCCUCAGGACCACUGCUUUAGGAAACAAUCCAAGUGUUUGUGCGGCGUCUGUGCUCCCCAGGAACCCGAUGAGUAGCUAUAUGCUGCAGUGCUGGUGAAGUGGCAGAGUUGUGCAAUGACGGCGAAGUACAGUGUAAGCACGCAUCACACUUUGUUCCCAGCUCUUUGUCUUCGGCCAGAACUUCUGGUGGUGUAUCCACCGCAGUAUUGCAGCGACAAUCACAGUCUUCGCCAUCUGUACCCACAAUAGAUCGGCACGUUGAGCCAUCCUUAUUUUCGUAGUUGUCGUCGUCGUUUGCACACACGACGAAUGCCCAAUGAAAGUUACGAAGGCUCUAACCAGCUGUGCAACUCAAGGGCCUGGUUAGAAUUAGAAUGAUUGUCAGGAGAUUACUGUGCUACGUGUUUAGGAAAGUGUCCUUUCUUUUUACAGCUACGUCAGGUUCACUGCUUAUUGUGUGUUUACAAGCUGAGUUUGGAGACCGAGAAACAGACGACAGAUACCUGGGUGUGCCGUCCGCAUGAUCCCCCAACGUUUUUCCAUCCCGGUCCUAUCAGGGCAAUCAUCUUUAGUGUGCCUCAUUUCCUCAAACAAAUUUUGAUACCUGUCAUUGAUCCCAUUUUUUUUGCACCACUGUUUUGAAAACAUUUUUCAAUGCUGUAACUUCAGAGAUCCUUGGCAGAGCAUUACCUCUUGUCUAUGUAUUAUAAUAAUUAUUAUAAUGACAGGCGAUAAGUUAUGUAAAUGUGAAUAAAUAUUUGUGUUGA